rnacentral:rRNA from 1 species
ACGAACGCUGGCGGCAGGCUUAACACAUGCAAGUCGAACGCCCGAGCAAUCGGGAGUGGCAGACGGGUGAGUAACACGUGGGAACAUACCCUCAGGUUCGGAACAACGCCGGGAAACUGGCGCUAAUACCGGAUACGCCCUUUUGGGGAAAGGCUUGCUGCCUGAGGAUUGGCCCGCGUUCGAUUAGCUGGAUGGCGGGGUAACGGCCCACCAUGGCGACGAUCGAUAGCUGGUCUGAGAGGAUGGCCAGCCACAUUGGGACUGAGACACGGCCCAAACUCCUACGGGAGGCAGCAGUGGGGAAUAUUGGACAAUGGGCGCAAGCCUGAUCCAGCCAUGCCGCGUGAGUGAUGACGGCCUUAGGGUUGUAAAGCUCUUUCGCACGCGACGAUAAUGACGGUAGCGUGAGAAGAAGCCCCGGCUAACUUCGUGCCAGCAGCCGCGGUAAUACGAAGGGGGCUAGCGUUGUUCGGAAUCACUGGGCGUAAAGGGUGCGCAGGCGGGUUCAUAAGUCAGGGGUGAAAUCCCGAGGCUCAACCUCGGAACGGCCUUUGAUACUGUGGAUCUUGAGUCCGGAAGAGGUGAGUGGAACUG